UGGCUUGAUUCCCGCAAGAGAUACGUAGGCAUCCUGAGGUUGGACUUGAGAGCAAUUGCAAAAUCAAACACACACGUUCUGUUUCUUUAUGAUGGAAUCAAAGGGUGUUCCCUUGAAGCAAGGGAUUGUAAUUAAGAGACUUGCGUCUCGAAUGGGUCGAACCUAAAAUAAUAAAAUCCCGUUAUUUAAUUAGUGGUGGUGAAAUUAUAUUAGGAGGAUCACAUUUUCCUUCAAC
rnacentral:lncRNA from 1 species